rnacentral:rRNA from 1 species
AUGGGAGGACAUCCGAGUCCUCUUGCUUUCGUGGAGCAAAUACUCCAUGUUUGUAUAGUCCUUAGCAAACAUCACAAAGUGAUCCUUUUGUUGUUGAGGUUUCCCUCCAGGGAUUUCUCCAUUAGAAGGCAGUCUCAUAUUCCAUCGCCCUUGAUAGCAGCGUUGCUGCAUUUAAACUUUGGGAAUUGCCAUGAUACUUACAUCUUUUAUUCCCCAAAUUUUAUUUCAAAUAUGCUUAUAUCUACUGUUCUAUACAAUGUGUCUUUAUUUGUUUACGAAAAGUAUUGUUAUGUGAUGGGAGGACAUCCGAGUCCUUCUGCUAUUUUGGAGCAAACAAUACAUGUUUGUAUAUUCCUUAGCAAACAUCACAAAGUGAGCCUUCUGUUGUUGAGGUUUCCCUCCAGGGAUUUCUCCAUUGGAAGGCAGUCUCAUAUUCCAUCGCCCUUGAUAGCAGCGUUGCUGCAUUUAAACUUUGGGAAUUGCCAUGCGACUUACAUCUUUUAUUGUCCAAAUAUUAUUUCAAAUAUGCUUAUACCUACUGUUCUAUACAAUGUGUGCUUAUUUAUCAUGAAAAUUACUGUUAUGUGA